rnacentral:tRNA from 1 species
UAGGCUGAAGUCCGAUGGUUUGGACGGCUAGUUGUUAACUAGUUUAUUGUGAGAUCGAGGCUCAUCAGUCUAG